CGUUAAAUAGCUUAAGUAAAGCCUGGGUCUCUUAAACCUAAAUAUAGUAAUUUCAUUUACUUUUAACGA
rnacentral:tRNA from 1 species